rnacentral:rRNA from 1 species
CCUACGUGAGGCAGCAGUGAGGAAUAUUGGUCAAUGGGCGCGAGCCUGAACCAGCCAAGUAGCGUGAAGGAUGACUGCCCUACGGGUUGUAAACUUCUUUUAUAAAGGAAUAAAGUUAAGCACGUAUACCUUUUUGUAUGUACUUUAUGAAUAAGGAUCGGCUAACUCCGUGCCAACAGCCGCGGUAAUAAGGAGGAUCCGAGCGUUAUCCGGAUUGAUUGGGUUUAAAGGGAGCGUAGGUGGGUUCUUAAGUCAGUUGUGAAAGUUUGCGGCUCAACCGUAAAAUUGCAAUUGAUACUGGCAGCCGUGAGUACAGUUGAGGUAGGCGGAAUUCGUGGUGUAGCGGUGAAAUGCUUAGAUAUCACGAAGAACUCCGAUUGCGAAGGCAGCUUACUAAACUGUAACUGACACUGAUGCUCGAAAGUGUGGGUAUCAAACAGGAUUAGAUACCCCUGUAGUC